rnacentral:rRNA from 1 species
AAUAUUGGUCAAUGGAGGCAACUCUGAUCCAGCAAUGCCGCGUGCAUGAAGAAGGCCUUAUGGUUGUAAAGCAGUUUCAAUAGAGAAAGAAAGCUUUCGGUUAAUGGCUAUGAGUCGUGACGUUAAGUACAGAAGAAGGUCCGGCUAACUCCAGCCAGCAGCCGCGGUAAUAGGGAGGGAGCGUUAUCUAAUAUCAAUUAGUGGGAAUAAAGCGUGGGUAGGCGAUUAUAUAAGUCGGAUAUUAAAGCACAGGGCUCAACCCUGGAAUUGCAUUCGAUACUGCAGAACUAGAGUACGGUAGAGGGAAGUGGAAUUUCCGGUGUAGCGGUGAAAUGCGUAGAUAUAGGAAGGAACACCAGUGGCGACGGCGACUUCAUGGGCCAAUACCGACGAGGAGGUGCGAAAGGGUGGGGAGCAAACAGGAUUAGAUACCCUGGUAGUCCCCGCCGUA